rnacentral:rRNA from 1 species
UGGGGAAUAUUCCACAAUGGGCGCAAGCCUGAUGCAGCCAUGCCGCGUGUGUGAAGAAGGCCUUCGGGUUGUAAAGCACUUUCAGCGGGGAGGAAGGCGAUAAGGUUAAUAACCUUGUCGAUUGACGUUACCCGCAGAAGCAGCACCGGCUAACUCCGUGCCAGCAGCCGCGGUAAUACGGAGGGUGCAAGCGUUAAUCGGAAUUACUGGGCGUAAAGCGCACGCAGGCGGUCUGUCAAGUCGGAUGUGAAAUCCCCGGGCUCAACCUGGGAACUGCAUUCGAAACUGGCAGGCUAGAGUCUUGUAGAGGGGGGUAGAAUUCCAGGUGUAGCGGUGAAAUGCGUAGAGAUCUGGAGGGAUACCGGUGGCGAAGGCGGCCCCCUGGAGAAAGACUGACGCUCAGGUGCGGAAGCGUGGGGGGCAAACAGG